rnacentral:rRNA from 1 species
AUUGAACGCUGGCGGCAUGCCUUACACAUGCAAGUCGAACGGCAGCACGGGGGCAACCCUGGUGGCGAGUGGCGAACGGGUGAGUAAUGCAUCGGAACGUGCCCAGUAGUGGGGGAUAACCAGUCGAAAGACUGGCUAAUACCGCAUACGACCUAAGGGUGAAAGCGGGGGACCGUAAGGCCUCGCGCUAUUGGAGCGGCCGAUGUCUGAUUAGCUAGUUGGCGGGGUAAGAGCCCACCAAGGCGACGAUCAGUAGCUGGUCUGAGAGGACGACCAGCCACACUGGGACUGAGACACGGCCCAGACUCCUACGGGAGGCAGCAGUGGGGAAUUUUGGACAAUGGGCGCAAGCCUGAUCCAGCCAUGCCGCGUGCGGGAAGAAGGCCUUCGGGUUGUAAACCGCUUUUGGCAGGAACGAAACGGCGCAAGCCAAUACCUUGCGCUAAUGACGGUACCUGCAGAAUGAGCACCGGCUAACUACGUGCCAGCCGCCGCCGUAACAC